AGAGUUUGAUCCUGGCUCAGAUUGAACGCUGGCGGCAUGCCUUACACAUGCAAGUCGAACGGCAGCACGGGAGCAAUCCUGGUGGCGAGUGGCGAACGGGUGAGUAAUACAUCGGAACGUGCCCAGUUGUGGGGGAUAGCCCGGCGAAAGCCGGAUUAAUACCACAUACGACCUACGGGUGAAAGCGGGGGAUCGCAAGACCUCGCGCAAUUGGAGCGGCCGACGGCAGAUUAGCUUGUUGGUGGGGUAAAAGCCUACCAAGGCGACGAUCUGUAGCUGGUCUGAGAGGACGACCAGCCACACUGGGACUGAGACACGGCCCAGACUCCUACGGGAGGCAGCAGUGGGGAAUUUUGGACAAUGGGCGCAAGCCUGAUCCAGCCAUGCCGCGUGUGGGAAGAAGGCCUUCGGGUUGUAAACCACUUUUGUCAGGGAAGAAACGGUCUGAUCUAAUAAAUCGGACUAAUGACGGUACCUGAAGAAUAAGCACCGGCUAACUACGUGCCAGCAGCCGCGGUAAUACGUAGGGUGCAAGCGUUAAUCGGAAUUACUGGGCGUAAAGCGUGCGCAGGCGGCUAUGCAAGACAGAUGUGAAAUCCCCGGGCUCAACCUGGGAACUGCAUUUGUGACUGCAUGGCUAGAGUACGGCAGAGGGGGAUGGAAUUCCGCGUGUAGCGGCGAAAUGCGUAGAUAUGCGGAGGAACACCGAUGGCGAAGGCAAUCCCCUGGGCCUGUACUGACGCUCAUGCACGAAAGCGUGGGGAGCAAACAGGAUUAGAUACCCAGGUAGUCCACGCCCUAAACGAUGUCAACUGGUUGUUGGACGGCUUGCUGUUCAGUAACGAAGCUAACGCGUGAAGUUGACCGCCUGGGGAGUACGGCCGCAAGGUUGAAACUCAAAGGAAUUGACGGGGACCCGCACAAGCGGUGGAUGAUGUGGUUUAAUUCGAUGCAACGCGAAAAACCUUACCUACCCUUGACAUGUCUAGAAGUUUCCAGAGAUGGAUUCGUGCUCGAAAGAGAACUAGAACACAGGUGCUGCAUGGCCGUCGUCAGCUCGUGUCGUGAGAUGUUGGGUUAAGUCCCACAACGAGCGCAACCCAUAUCAUUAGUUGCUACGCAAGGGCACUCUAAUGAGACUGCCGGUGACAAACCGGAGGAAGGUGGGGAUGACGUCAGGUCAUCAUGGCCCUUAUGGGUAGGGCUACACACGUCAUACAAUGGCCGGUACAGAGGGCUGCCAACUCGCGAGAGGGAGCUAAUCUCAGAAAACCGGUCGUAGUCCGGAUCGCAGUCUGCAACUCGACUGCGUGAAGUCGGAAUCGCUAGUAAUCGCGGAUCAGCUUGCCGCGGUGAAUACGUUCCCGGGUCUUGUACACACCGCCCGUCACACCAUGGGAGCGGGUUCUGCCAGAAGUAGUUAGCCUAACCGCAAGGAGGGCGAUUACCACGGCAGGGUUCGUGACUGGGGUGAAGUCGUAACAAGGUA
rnacentral:rRNA from 1 species